GAUCUAGUGUGGACCUGAUUACAGGGUCUUUUCUCCUGUUUUUUAAAAAAUAUUUGCACAGAAUUUUUAUGAGCUUCACCUCUGUUACUACUGGGCAUGGAUUCUGCUGAAGCCACAGUUAUUUUGCAAGUCAGCGAGGACUUCCCCAGCCCUGGGUUGGAGCUGCACUGAUAACUUUGCUCUAAAUUCUCUCUUUAAUGGAAAAAAACAUGGAUGGAAGGCAGAGGAGCAUAAAUCUUGCAAGUUGCUUUUCCGAGACCAGCCAGAACUAGCCCUAAAUGAAGACAGUGAAUGCUGCUGGCGGCUGUAUUCUCCUCAUUCUGAUUUCAACAAGUAGUCGCCAGCCAGAGGAGCAUUAGAAGACCAAGCCUCACAUCUUCUGGUCAUAGAAUUCCUUUCUGCAGGCUCCACUGCAGGCUGAGGCCCCCCGCGUAACCUGAGACGCCUCGAUUUCCCUGAAGACAGCACAUUAAAGAGGUCUGUUGGCCAGCUGCAGGAACAGGCCAUUGUUUCCACUUCUGGAUUUCUCCUGAACAUCGUACUUCACUUCCAAUAAUCUACUAAAGAGGCUGAGAUUUCUCUUCCGUACUGCAUGCUCCUAAAAUUAAGAGAAGGAAACUCCAAGGGUUCAAUUUCAAUUAAAAUAUUCAAAAGACCAAAGUAAGUAUGCAUCAGUGAAACUGCAAGAUGAACAGGCUGAGUGAGAGGUAAUGUCAUUCCUUCCUGAAGUUCAAAAU